UUCCAUGGCAGCGUGCCGCAGCCAGGCCGACAGUCAGGCGAUAAAACCAGCCUGUAUGCUUCUCCCAGUUCCCUAGACAGACCCUCAUGUUUCCUGCUUAUGGAAAAGAGAUGAUUUCUGGGAAUUAAAUCAGAGAGCCAAGCUGAGUGCGGUUUCCCCUUAGCUUACUUGAACAUGUUCAAGAGAAAAGAGGAAGGGGCUGUUUCCUUUCUUCCGAGCCGCGUGGGUUCGCUGCCCUGCUGACUCCACGGGUAUGAGCCUGCCGUGUGCUGUGAGCAGGGCUCAACUCUCUGCUGGGGCGGGAGAAGCAGCCCUGAACCUGCUGAGUUCUCAAUUGCUUCAUAAUGAUCUCACGCUCACUUCAACAGAUAAGGCUGGAGACUCCAGUAUCGAGAAAAAGGAACGUAUAACGAAGACGCACCAAUGUCAAGACUUAAAAGUCCUUUCAAAAACGACUUUUAGCAAUGCCUCAUUGUUCACUGUGGGUCAUUCGGUCCUGUCUGCGAUGAAUGUUCUUUAAACAAAUAAAAACAUUUU